ACCCGCUGAACUUAAGCAUAUCAAUAAGCGGAGGAAAAGAAACCAACAGGGAUUGCCCUAGUAACGGCGAGUGAAGCGGCAACAGCUCAAAUUUGAAAUCUGGCUCUUUUAGAGUCCGAGUUGUAAUUUGCAGAGGGCGCUUUGGCUUUGGCAGCGGUCCAAGUUCCUUGGAACAGGACGUCACAGAGGGUGAGAAUCCCGUACGUGGUCGCUGGCUAUUGCCGUGUAAAGCCCCUUCGACGAGUCGAGUUGUUUGGGAAUGCAGCUCUAAAUGGGAGGUACAUUUCUUCUAAAGCUAAAUAUUGGCCAGAGACCGAUAGCGCACAAGUAGAGUGAUCGAAAGAUGAAAAGCACUUUGGAAAGAGAGUCAAACAGCACGUGAAAUUGUUGAAAGGGAAGCGCUUGCAGCCAGACUUGCCUGUAGUUGCUCAUCCGGGCUUUUGCCCGGUGCACUCUUCUGUAGGCAGGCCAGCAUCAGUUUGGGCGGUAGGAUAAGGGUCUCUGUCACGUACCUCUCUUCGGGGAGGCCUUAUAGGGGAGACGACAUACUACCAGCCUGGACUGAGGUCCGCGCAUCUGCUAGGAUGCUGGCGUAAUGGCUGU
rnacentral:rRNA from 1 species